UUAAUUGAAGCCAAAAUGGAGGCCUUUCAUUGUUAAUGAAAAAACUGGUUCAUAUAAUAACCCAAUUAAA
rnacentral:tRNA from 1 species